rnacentral:tRNA from 1 species
GCACAUGUGGCGGAACUGGCAGACGCGUUAGACUUAGGAUCUAAUUCUUCGUGAGUGGGGGUUCAAGUCCCUUCAUGUGCACCA